UACGUAGGGUGCAAGCGUUGUCCGGAAUUAUUGGGCGUAAAGAGCUCGUAGGCGGUCUGUCGCGUCGGCUGUGAAAUCCCGAGGCUCAACCUCGGGUCUGCAGUCGAUACGGGCAAACUAGAGUAUUGCAGGGGAGACUGGAAUUCCUGGUGUAGCGGUGAAAUGCGCAGAUAUCAGGAGGAACACCGGUGGCGAAGGCGGGUCUCUGGGCAAUAACUGACGCU
rnacentral:rRNA from 1 species